CUCCCUGCUUUCCUGCAUGGAGGCGUGAGGCCCCGUUUGGAUACCUGUCCCCUGUCCCUCCAGAUGGUGACCAGAGAGGAAGACUUGCAUUGCGCCUGCUAGCCCCAGGCCAGUGGCCAUCAGCGAGAUGCCCAGCCCCUGGUGAGCUGAGCUUGCGCCCUCCUGGGCCUGGUCUCCUGCAUUGAACUUGUGAGCUCUUCUGCCCAGCAGACCUCCUGACAUUGACCAGCAUCGAUGGUGAAACCAGAGGAAAACUUUCGUUGGGCCCGCUGUCCCGGGGCGAGUGGUCGUCCAGUCAGGUGCCCAGCCCCUGGAGCGCUGAAACUCAGGCCUUUCCUGUCGCCUUGGUCUCCUGCACUGAGCUGUGUGAACUCUUCUGCCCAGGCGGGCCCCUGGCCUUGAGCGGCAUAGGGUGGUGGAGUCUUGAGCCAGAGGAAAGGAGAAGAUAGCAUGUGUCCCAUGAUUGGCCGAGUGUGGCCUGGCUGUGUGUUUUACUUGGGA